rnacentral:rRNA from 1 species
GAUGAACGCUGGCGGCGUGCCUAAUACAUGCAAGUCGAGCGAACGGACGAGAAGCUUGCUUCUCUGAUGUUAGCGGCGGACGGGUGAGUAACACGUGGAUAACCUACCUAUAAGACUGGGAUAACUUCGGGAAACCGGAGCUAAUACCGGAUAAUAUUUUGAAUCGCAUGGUUCAAAAGUGAAAGACGGUCUUGCUGUCACUUAUAGAUGGAUCCGCGCUGCAUUAGCUAGUUGGUAAGGUAACGGCUUACCAAGGCAACGAUGCAUAGCCGACCUGAGAGGGUGAUCGGCCACACUGGAACUGAGACACGGUCCAGACUCCUACGGGAGGCAGCAGUAGGGAAUCUUCCGCAAUGGGCGAAAGCCUGACGGAGCAACGCCGCGUGAGUGAUGAAGGUCUUCGGAUCGUAAAACUCUGUUAUUAGGGAGGAACAUAUGUGUAAGUAACUGUGCACAUCUUGACGGUACCUAAUCAGAAAGCCACGGCUAACUACGUG